rnacentral:lncRNA from 10 species
AGUAUUGAUUGAUGGUAAUAGUGAUAACAUUAAGACUUGGAGAUCAGGUUAAAGACAGAUAUGCACCAUGAAUCCGUAAUUGAAUAAGACAGAAGGAAAUUUAAUUAGCCUUUUUCCUGUGUCCAUAGCAGUGCUUUAAUAAGAACAAUAGAAAAGUCUUUUUUUUUUCCUUUAAAUUGCUAAUCCAGGAUGUUUUCGAUGCUUUUAUGGAAGUCAGCUAACUAAAUACCUUGAGAGAACAGCAAUACCAUCAAAUUACAUCUGUCUGUGACAUUUUCUCUAGGAUGGGACUAACAAAUUUGAUCUGUUUUUUUUUAAUAUGUAUUAAUUCACACUUAUUGCAUUACAACAAGGUUUUUGUCUUCUUAGCUCUUCUCUUUUUCAGGAAAUUACUCCAGGAUUUGAAUCAUCACAAGAGAUUCACCAGAGGAUUUUAUACACUUGGGCUGUGGCAGCAGACUAAUUACAUCACAGCACUAGGCUAAAGAAGAAAAAUCACAUGAUCAUAUCAAUAGAUGCAGAAAAAGCAUCUGACAAAAACCAGCUCUCAUUCAUGAU